CUCUUGUGGAUCAGUGGCGAACGGGUGAGUAACACGUGAGCAACCUGCCCCGGACUCUGGGAUAAGCGCUGGAAACGGCGUCUAAUACUGGAUAUGAGACGUGAUCGCAUGGUCAACGUUUGGAAAGAUUUUUCGGUCUGGGAUGGGCUCGCGGCCUAUCAGCUUGUUGGUGAGGUAAUGGCUCACCAAGGCGUCGACGGGUAGCCGGCCUGAGAGGGUGACCGGCCACACUGGGACUGAGACACGGCCCAGACUCCUACGGGAGGCAGCAGUGGGGAAUAUUGCACAAUGGGCGAAAGCCUGAUGCAGCAACGCCGCGUGAGGGAUGACGGCCUUCGGGUUGUAAACCUCUUUUAGCAGGGAAGAAGCGAAAGUGACGGUACCUGCAGAAAAAGCACCGGCUAACUACGUGCCAGCAGCCGCGGUAAUACGUAGGGUGCAAGCGUUAUCCGGAAUUAUUGGGCGUAAAGAGCUCGUAGGCGGUUUGUCGCGUCUGCUGUGAAAACUGGAGGCUCAACCUCCAGCCUGCAGUGGGUACGGGCAGACUAGAGUGCGGUAGGGGAGAUUGGAAUUCCUGGUGUAGCGGUGGAAUGCGCAGAUAUCAGGAGGAACACCGAUGGCGAAGGCAGAUCUCUGGGCCGUAACUGACGCUGAGGAGCGAAAGGGUGGGGAGCAAACA
rnacentral:rRNA from 1 species